rnacentral:rRNA from 1 species
UACAGAGGUCUCAAGCGUUGUUCGGAUUCAUUGGGCGUAAAGGGUGCGUAGGCGGCGCGGUAAGUCGGGUGUGAAAUCUUGGAGCUUAACUCCGAAACUGCAUUCGAUACUGCCGUGCUUGAGGACUGGAGAGGAGACUGGAAUUUACGGUGUAGCGGUGAAAUGCGUAGAUAUCAGGAAGAACACCAAUGGCGAAGGCAGCUCUCUGGGACGGUACUGACGCUGAGACGCGAAAGCGUGGGGAGCGAACAGA